rnacentral:tRNA from 1 species
GGCUGGGUGGUGUAGUUGGUUAUCACGUUUGUCUAACACUUCUUGUGUACACAAAAGGUCCCGAGUUCAAGUCUCGGCCGAGUCA